rnacentral:rRNA from 1 species
AUUGAACGCUGGCGGCAUGCCUUACACAUGCAAGUCGAACGGCAGCACGGGUGCUUGCACCUGGUGGCGAGUGGCGAAUGGGUGAGUAAUACAUCGGAACGUACCUUAUCGUGGGGGAUAACGCAGCGAAAGCUGUGCUAAUACCGCAUACGCCCUGAGGGGGAAAGCGGGGGAUCGCAAGACCUCGCGCGAUUAGAGCGGCCGAUGCCUGAUUAGCUUGUUGGUGGGGUAAAAGCCCACCAAGGCGACGAUCAGUAGCUGGUCUGAGAGGACAAUCAGCCACACUGGGACUGAGACACGGCCCAGACUCCUACGGGAGGCAGCAGUGGGGAAUUUUGGACAAUGGGGGCAACCCUGAUCCAGCAAUGCCGCGUGAGUGAAGAAGGCCUUCGGGUCGUAAAGCUCUUUUGUCAGGGAAGAAACACCGGCUCUAACACAGUCCGGGAAUGACGGUACCUGAAGAAUAAGCACCGGCUAACUACGUGCCAGCCGCCGCCGUAA